AUUGAACGCUGGCGGCAGGCUUAACACAUGCAAGUCGAGCGGAGCGAGGGUGCUUGCACCUUAGCUUAGCGGCGGACGGGUGAGUAAUGCUUAGGAAUCUGCCUAUUAGUGGGGGACAACAUUCCGAAAGGGAUGCUAAUACCGCAUACGCCCUACGGGGGAAAGCAGGGGAUCUUCGGACCUUGCGCUAAUAGAUGAGCCUAAGUCGGAUUAGCUAGUUGGUGGGGUAAAGGCCUACCAAGGCGACGAUCUGUAGCGGGUCUGAGAGGAUGAUCCGCCACACUGGGACUGAGACACGGCCCAGACUCCUACGGGAGGCAGCAGUGGGGAAUAUUGGACAAUGGGGGGAACCCUGAUCCAGCCAUGCCGCGUGUGUGAAGAAGGCCUUUUGGUUGUAAAGCACUUUAAGCGAGGAGGAGGCGCUCUAGGCUAAUACCCUAGAUGCGUGGACGUUACUCGCAGAAUAAGCACCGGCUAACUCUGUGCCAGCAGCCGCGGUAAUACAGAGGGUGCGAGCGUUAAUCGGAUUUACUGGGCGUAAAGCGCGCGUAGGUGGCUAAUUAAGUCAAAUGUGAAAUCCCCGAGCUUAACUUGGGAAUUGCAUUCGAUACUGGUUAGCUAGAGUAUGGGAGAGGAUGGUAGAAUUCCAGGUGUAGCGGUGAAAUGCGUAGAGAUCUGGAGGAAUACCGAUGGCGAAGGCAGCCAUCUGGCCUAAUACUGACACUGAGGUGCGAAAGCAUGGGGAGCAAACAGGAUUAGAUACCCUGGUAGUCCAUGCCGUAAACGAUGUCUACUAGCCGUUGGGGCCUUUGAGGCUUUAGUGGCGCAGCUAACGCGAUAAGUAGACCGCCUGGGGAGUACGGUCGCAAGACUAAAACUCAAAUGAAUUGACGGGGGCCCGCACAAGCGGUGGAGUAUGUGGUUUAAUUCGAUGCAACGCGAAGAACCUUACCUGGCCUUGACAUGCUGAGAACUUUCCAGAGAUGGAUUGGUGCCUUCGGGAACUCAGACACAGGUGCUGCAUGGCUGUCGCCAGCUCGUGUCGUGAGAUGUUGGGUUAAGUCCCGCAACGAGCGCAACCCUUGUCCUUAGUUGCCAGCACAUAAUGGUGGGAACUCUAAGGAGACCGCCGGUGACAAACCGGAGGAAGGUGGGGAUGACGUCAAGUCAUCAUGGCCCUUACGGCCAGGGCUACACACGUACUACAAUGGUGGGGACAGAGGGCUGCAAACCGGCGACGGUAAGCCAAUCCCAGAAACCCCAUCUCAGUCCGGAUUGGAGUCUGCAACUCGACUCCAUGAAGUCGGAAUCGCUAGUAAUCGCAGAUCAGCACUGCUGCGGUGAAUACGUUCCCGGGCCUUGUACACACCGCCCGUCACACCAUGAGAGUCUGUAACACCCAAAGCCGGUGGGAUAACCUUUAUAGGAGUCAGCCGUCUAAGGUAGGACAGAUGAUUAGGGUG
rnacentral:rRNA from 1 species